rnacentral:rRNA from 1 species
AUUGAACGCUGGCGGCAGGCCUAAUACAUGCAAGUCGAACGGUGUAGCAAUACACAGUGGCGCACGGGUGCGUAACACGUAUGCAACCUACCUUACAUUGGGGGAUAGCCUUUCGAAAGGGAGAUUAAUACCGCAUAAGACAGUAACUAGGCAUCUAGUAGCUGUUAAAGAUUUAUCGAUGUAAGCUGGGCAUGCGUCCAAUUAGUUAGUUGGCGAGGUAAUGGCUCACCAAGACGAUGAUUGGUAGGGGAACUGAGAGGUCAAUCCCCCACACUGGCACUGAGAUACGGGCCAGACUCCUACGGGAGGCAGCAGUAGGGAAUAUUGGGCAAUGGGCGCAAGCCUGACCCAGCCAUGCCGCGUGCAGGAAGAAGGCGUUAUGCGUUGUAAACUGCUUUUAUACAGGAAGAAACGACCCUUGCGAGGGGCAUUGACGGUACUGUAUGAAUAAGCACCGGCUAACUCCGUGCCAGCCGCCGCCGUAACAC